rnacentral:rRNA from 1 species
UGUGAUUCCGUUAGUAACGGCGAGUGAACACGGAAAAGCUCAUCGAUGAAGGGGAAUCUUUUGAUUUCCCGGUGUUCGGUUACGGAUUGGUACCAGAUUGUUUUGUCGCACAGCAAUCCUGUUGGAAUGCAUGAUCAUAGAGGGUAAUAAUCCCGUAUGUGUGCUUCAAUUCAAUCAACGGUCCUUUCUAGAGAGUAGAGUUAUUUGAAACUGUAACUCAAAGUGGAGAUAUGUCUCUCCAAAAGCUAAAUAAAAUGCGAGCCCGAUAGCAAACAAGUACCGUGAGGGAAAGUUGAAAAGCACUCUGAAGAGAGAGUGAAAAGUACGUGAAACCGUUGAGGGGGAAAGGAAGAGAACGUUAACAUCUUCAGUGCCUUGUGUCAAUUAGUAUGCAGGGUUAGAGAAGGCUGUCGUUACUUUCUACCGUUUUUGUCAGUGGUGUUAGCUGCGUUUAGUUUCGGCUAAAUGUAGUGUGCCUCUAGCAUUGAAUUAGAUAUCUUCUGAUUCUGUUUUAACAAUGGGGAGUAACUUCAUUUUCAAUGUUCUCUCCCACCCGUCUUGAAACACGGACCAAGGAGUCUGGGUUGCCCGCAAGUGACUGUGCGAUUGAAUGCGCAUUCGCGAAGUGAAAGCAAAUAUGUGUUCCCUUAACCGGGGAUGCAUGCUCUAAGUGGUGAUAGCGCUAGAACAGCGUCUCGCAACCACGGACGGUUUCGCCAUUAAGUGCUUAAUCGAUCUUGAGCGGGUAACACAGGACCCGAAAGAUGGUGAUCUAUGCUUGGGCAGAGUGAAGCCACGGGAAACCAUGGUGGAAGCUCGAAGCGGUUCUGACGUGCAAAUCGAUCGUCUGACCCAAGUAUAGGGGCGAAAGACUAAUCGAACCAUCUAGUAGCUGGUUCCCUCCGAAGUUUCCCUCAGGAUAGCGAAGACUCAAAUAAACUGCUUUAAAACAGUUUCAUCGGGUAAAGCGAAUGAUUAGAGGCCUGGGGAACUCCGUGUUCUUCACCUAUUCUCAAACUUUAAAUCGGUGAGAUGUCCUUGUGACUUAAUUGCACUUGGACUGUCGAAUGUGAGUCUUCAGUGGGCCGUUUUUGGUAAGCAGAACCGGCGAUGUGGGAUGAACCAAACGUUGGGUUAAGGCGCCUAACUACUUGCUCAUGAGUAACCACAAAAGGUGUUGAUUGAUAUUGACAGCAGGACGGUGGCCAUGGAAGUCGGAAUCCGCUAAGGAGUGUGUAACAACUCACCUGCCGAAUCAAUCAGCCCUGAAAAUGGAUGGCACUUGAGCUAGUGGCCUAUACCCAACCGUGAACAUCGAAGUCUGACAACCUGGGUACCCGAUUUAUUGGGCCCUAGUCGGAAAUGAUACUUGCACACGUGCUUGUAAAUUAUAUGUUCACGAGUAGGAGGGAACAGCGGUUGCGUUAAAGUGUAUGCGUGAGCGUAUGCGUCAAGCGGCCGUUGGCUCAGAUCUUGGUGGUAGUAGCAAGUACUCAAAUAUGAACUUUGAGGACUGAAGCGGGCAAGGUUUUCAUGUGAACAGUGUUUGAACAUGAGUUAGUCGAUUCUGAGAGACAGGCUAAUGCCUAUUGUACUGUAGUGUUAUCACAACUACUUAGUCUCGAAAGAGCAUAGGGUUAAUAUUCCCUAACUGUCCCUAUCGGUAAUAACGGCGGCAACGCCAGCGUAACUCAAUUAGUCAAUGUGAACUUGGGGAAGAGUUUUCUUUUCUUUAUAACCAGUAGUGUUGCCUUGGAAUUGAUUCAAUCAGAGAUAAGGAACCGAGACUGGGAAGAGCACAACAGCAUUUGUUGUGUCCCAAUUGUUUGCAUUGUCCCUUGAAGAUUGAGUGAAGCUAACACCAAUAGGAACAUUCGUACCCAUAACCGCAUCAGGUCCCCAAGGUGAGAAGCNNNNNNNNNNNNNNNNNNNNNNNNNNNNNNNNNNNNNNNNNNNNNNNNNNNNNNNNNNNNNNNNNNNNNNNNCUGAUGAUUGGGUGUAACAAGCCAUUAGUCUGAAAUGUCGGUUCUUGUCGGUGUGCGAUGCCGUCUGUCGGAUGCGCAAGCGUCUGUCGGAUGGUGUUGGCGCUAACUUGGACUGUGCGUGGACUGACUUUUGGUCUUUCUCUGUUGCACGUUUAACAAUCAAGCUCAGAACUGGUUCGGACAAGAGGAAUCCGACUGGUUAAUUAAACCAAAGCAUUGCGAUGGCUGGUGAACUGGUGUUGACGCAAUGUGAUUUCUGCCCAGUGCUCUGAAUGUCAAAGUGAAGAAAUUCAAUAAAGCGCGGGUAAACGGCGGGAGUAACUAUGACUCUCUUAAGGUAGCCAAAUGCCUCGUCAUCUAAUUAGUGACGCGCAUGAAUGGAUUAACGAGAUUCCUACUGUCCCUAUCUACUAUCCAGCGAAACCACAGCCUUGGGAACGGGCAAGGCAUAGUCAGCGGGGAAAGAAGACCCUGUUGAGCUUGACUCUAGUCUGAUUUUGUGAAGUGGCUCGAAAGGUGUAGAAUAGGUGGGAGCCUGUCAAAGGGCGUCAGUGAAAUACCACUACUUUCGGUGUCACUUUACUAAUCCAGUGGCAAUGCAAAACCUCUAAUCGGGUUUGUUUAAGAGAAAGCUUGUAAUUGUUUAACCGCAAAUCAGGCGAGCAUGCCUGGAGACAGAAUCAGGUGGGGAGUUUGACUGGGGCGGUACAUCUGUAAAAAGAUAACGCAGGUGUCCUAAGGCGGACUCAGCGGGGACGGAAACCUCGCGUAGAGCAAAAGGGCAAAUGUCCGCUUGAUCUAGAUUUUCAGUGUGAUUACAGACUGCGAAAGCGUGGCCUAUCGAUCCUUUUGGUUUUAGAGACUUUAAACAAGAGGUGUCAGAAAAGUUACCACAGGGAUAACUGGCUUGUGGCAGCCAAGCGUUCAUAGCGACGUUGCUUUUUGAUCCUUCGAUGUCGGCUCUUCCUAUCAUUGCGAAGCAGAAUUCGCAAAGUGUUGGAUUGUUCACCCACUAACAGGGAACGUGAGCUGGGUUUAGACCGUCGUGAGACAGGUUAGUUUUACCCUACUGACCAUUAUUACUCUACUCUGCCUGCUUACUUACAGUAAUCCCACUUAGUACGAGAGGAACCGUGGGUUCGGACACUUGGUUUCAACGCCUGUUGAGAAAACAAGG